rnacentral:rRNA from 1 species
UACGUAGGGUGCAAGCGUUAUCCGGACUUAUUGGGCGUAAAGAGCUCGUAGGCGGUUUGUCGCGUCUGCUGUGAAAACUGGAGGCUCAACCUCCAGCCUGCAGUGGGUACGGGCAGACUAGAGUGCGGUAGGGGAGACUGGAAUUCCUGGUGUAGCGGUGAAAUGCGCAGAUAUCAGGAGGAACACCGGUGGCGAAGGCGGGUCUCUGGGCCGUAACUGACGCUGAGGAGCGAAAGCGUGGGGAGCGAACAGG